rnacentral:rRNA from 1 species
GAGUUUGAUCGUGGCUCAGAGUGAACGCUGGCGGUAGGCCUAACACAUGCAAGUCGAACGGCAGCACAGGAGAGCUUGCUCUCUGGGUGGUGAGUGGCGGACGGGUGAGUAACGCGUGGGAACGUGCCCUUUGGUACGGAACAACUGAGGGAAACUUCAGCUAAUACCGUAUGUGCCCUUCGGGGGAAAGAUUUAUCGCCAUUGGAGCGGCCCGCGUUGGAUUAGGUAGUUGGUGGGGUAAAGGCCCACCAAGCCUACGAUCCAUAGCUGGUCUGAGAGGAUGAUCAGCCACACUGGGACUGAGACACGGCCCAGACUCCUACGGGAGGCAGCAGUAGGGAAUCUUGCGCAAUGGGCGAAAGCCUGACGCAGCCAUGCCGCGUGUAUGAUGAAGGUCUUAGGAUUGUAAAAUACUUUCACCGGGGAAGAUAAUGGCGGUACCCGGAGAAGAAGCCCCGGCUAACUUCGUGCCAGCAGCCGCCGUAC